CUCACAGAGUAGGUUGGUGGGGUCUGAUGGGGAGACCCCAGUUGUCAGGGGUCAUGAGGUACCUGAUUGUGUAUCUGGUGUAUCACCGGGGCCUGCUAGUUUGCUGGAGGACCAGUCAGGUUUGGCUGGUGUUCCCUUGAGGAGAACUGGGCGGACCACUGCGGGCUACCACUCGAAUCUGCACCAUCUAUCCCAGGCCGUUGAGAGAGGCACAAGAGCGGCCACAGUACAAGGCCCUAUAUCUAAUGGGAUCUCUAUUUGGUUUAGGCCAUGGGACACCGGACAGGAUUAGCUUAUGGGUAGACGUCGUUGGGUUAUUGUCGGGACGUUGAUUUAAAAAAAAAAUAGGGGGUAGAAUGUGGCAGGAUAAGUUAUUUCCUCUGAUUGGUUGGGGUAUGAUUGGCAGACCAAUGAGGUGGUAGCAGCCGUACUAUUUUAGGACCUUUAUUUUGAUGGGGGCGUUCCUGCUGACUUGGGGUUCUCUCGCUCCCUGGUACUUCCUCUUCCAUUCCCAUUCCUAUCCAGUUUAAUUUAGAGUGGGGCUGGUGUCGUUGGCGUUGCGGGAAGUCGUGGCAGAGUUUGCUUGCAGCGACAAGGGCAGGUGGGUGAAUGCUGGCUGGUAGACUGAGUUGUGGCACCGGUAGUGAGUAGCCAUACAGCUGUGCGUCUAGUGUUGGUUCAACAUAACUCGUAAAGGGGAAAGAUCAAGAUUUUCAAGCCCUGUUCCUAGCAAGGACUUCUUGCGACGACAACGCUGCUGUUUUGCUCAGGGAUAUUUUUUUGGUUUUAUUUGAUCGUCUCACGUACGGUCAUCGGUGUGGUUAACGGGUUUGUGGCUCCGCGAGUCGCUGGGGGCUGUAACGUUAACCUCUGGGCAUUGUGUCCGCCGGGUUUUCUAUUAGUUUAAUUUCUUUGAUUUAAUUUCCUUUGUCAACAGAGUAAGUUGUUGCUAUAUUUGUUUGAUUAGUUUGUUUUAUUUUUCUGGUUAUGUAUUUACUGUAAAGUGUUUCUUUAUUCAUGGAUUCAGUUUUCUAGUGCCAUUUAGGUGCUGGUUAUCUGCCUGUUUUGUACGUGUGUCAUCUGGAGGCCUGAGGGUCAAAGCUGCUACAACACAGUGUCUGUAAAAUUAUUAUUUGGUGUUUGUCUUUACUUAUAAUAUUUCAUAUGAUUUCCGUUUGAAUUUCGUUAUAAAUGUUUCUCUUUCUAGGGGGCAGUGAGGACUUGUGUGGAACAGGGGAGGCUAGAUCUGCGUUAUUCGGCGGUGUUUCACGGUGUGCUGUGGGUGCUUUGAUAUAACUUCCCUAGAACGGGUGUGUGUGUGGUAUCUGAUUUGCUGUGAACUGAGGUGGGUUUUGGACGACCUCCAGAGUUGCGGCCGGCCUGCCUUGUUCCCAUUAAUCCUGGCCCCGGAAGCUAUUCCUACCACUGUGGGCGUGUUUCGUGAGAGAAUUUUAUUUGAUAUUUUAUAAUAAAGUGUAUUUCUUGUAUCGAUACUGGCGUCUCCCUUGUCUCGUUACCUUCAAUUGGUGAAAUUUAC